CACGUAGGCGGGACUUUAAGUCAGGUGUGAAAGACCGAGGCUCAACCUCGGGGUUGCACUUGAAACUGGAGUUCUUGAGGGCAGGAGAGGAAAGCAGAAUUCCUGGUGUAGCGGUGAAAUGCGUAGAAAUCAGGAGGAAUACCAGUGGCGAAGGCGGCUUUCUGGACUGACCCUGACGCUGAGGUGCGAAAGCGUGGGUAGCAAACA
rnacentral:rRNA from 1 species